GGGAAUAUUGGACAAUGGGCGCAAGCCUGAUCCAGCAAUGCCGCGUGUGUGAAGAAGGUCUUCGGAUUGUAAAGCACUUUCGGCGGGGACGAUGAUGACGGUACCCGCAGAAGAAGCCCCGGCUAACUUCGUGCCAGCAGCCGCGGUAAUACGAAGGGGGCUAGCGUUGCUCGGAAUGACUGGGAGGAAAGGGCGCGUAGGCGGUUUGCACAGUCAGAUGUGAAAUUCCUGGGCGCAACCUGGGGACUGCAGUUGAUACGUGCAGGCUUGAGUGAGGAAGAGGGUUGGGGAAGGCCCAGUGUAGAGGUGAAAUUCGUAGAUAUUGGGAAGAACACCGGUGGCGAAGGCGGCAACCUGGGCCGGGACUGACGCUGAGGCGCGAAAGCGUGGGGAGCAAA
rnacentral:rRNA from 1 species